AACGCAUAUUGCGCCCGCCAGUACUCUGGCGGGCACGCCUGUUUGAGCGUCGUUUCACCACUCGGGCUUUUUCCGGUCCGGCGUCGGGGUGCUGUGGUCCUACCCGCAGGCCCCAAGAUAUAGCGGCGGACCAACCGCGGUCCUGAGCGCAGUACAAAGUCUCGCUCUGGCGGCCGCGGCGUGGCCUUGCCCCAGUAAUGGCAUGCCUCGACGUGCCGUCAUAAGUCGACCUCAAAUCAGGCGGGACUACCCGCUGAACUUAA
rnacentral:misc_RNA from 1 species